ACAAAUUUGUAGUGCAUGUACCAUUUGUAUAAAACAUAUCCAGCUAAAUUACUUGGUUUGUCUGAAGCAAUUCCAAACAGCCGUGACUGUGUAGAUAUUAUACAAACAUUAAGUGUUGAUGAAUACUUAGACAAUCUGUCAUUUAAAAAUUCCAAUUUGAUUGUUACAAUGAUGUUUAUCUUUUGUGGACAAAAAGGGAAAUGAAAGGCAAAAUCACAAAAAACAUGUGAAUUGACGAGUAAAAGAAAACCUAACAUUUAUAUUUAUUUUUUGUUAUGUCUGUGGAGCUGUGCUUAACUCUUGAGCAGGUUGGCAGCAGAGAGGUUUCCUGAGAUGUCCCGGAAACAGGUUGCGGUAAAAGCCCACCUGAAGGGAGAUACCAGUGAGGUAAAGGGAGUACCCUUGCUGACCAGGCAGCUACGGUUGCCAGCCGCAUGAACGGCAGAGAGAAACUUACUGCUCCAAUGUGUCAUCUAUGGUGACAAACUACUCAGAGCUCACAGACAUAGCUGAUUUUCAAAUUCAAUGCUCCAGAAAGGAGAAAUGAGAACGGAUUGAAAAUAAUAAUUUUAACACUGAUUUAUAACUCCAAAAGCCUUUUCCUUAUUUGGUCACACAGAUACACAGUGUUGGACGUUUAGAUGUUUUUCAAAUGUAUACGUAACUUGUAAAAAAUACAAUUUGGCACCCCCAAAUUCUAUCAAUUCUAAGCAGAACACCUCAGGGCGGUUUUCUGAAUUGCAGUAUGACUUUAUAACCUUUCAUCUAAAUACAAGGGUUAUCAAGAUGUUUUAACUAAUAGAUUUUUUCAUUUGGUGUAAAGGUUUUUUCACAAAGAAAACUUUGCUGCCUUUAUGGCUAAUAUGAUAACGUAAUAUUGUGCCAGGGCAAAUGGUUUUAAUAUAAAAGUUAUUUUUAUAUAACACUAUUUUAUAUAACAUUUUCUGAUGUUUUAGUCGCCUAAUGGUUUCUAUAGUUUCUAUGGGAGUCAAAACUAGUUAUUUCCUAGUAAUACUUAGAACAAGAUAUUUAAUUUAAAAUCUGUUUAAACAAAGUUGUUUUUUGGCCAUGGAGCCCUCUUGUUUUCUUUUCUUUUGUUUUUAUGUUUUCGCAGAGAUAUAUGACGCCGGCCUUCAAGAAAUUCACUGAAAAUUUCAGGUCAAUGGUCAUUUUUAAUUAUUACAAUGAAGGGUAUGAACAAUAUAUAAAAAAAAAUGUUAUUUGCUGUGUUGAUUUCUAUUCUGAUUUACAAUUCAGAUCCAUUAUUCCAUCCAUGGUUAGAACAUCACAGUAUUUUUAUUUAGGCAGUAACUUUAGCUCAUACAUACGAUAAGAUGCCUAAUAUUUCCAAUUGUUGUGUAUGUAAAUCUUUUCGUCAAAUAUCUGCAUAUACACCAGGACUUCUGAACGCCAGUUUAAAAGCAAUGCAAUAAAAAAGACUAUGUUACAACUGAGGAUAUGAUACAAUGGUUGUUUGGAGGGUCUUGGUGGGAAAAACUGUUGAAAAUAUUUGUUUCAAUAUUAUCUGCUCUUUUUCUGAUAUGUAUGUGUUUGACUUGUGUGAUACAAUGUAUGUCAAGAAUGACAAAAGAAAAUGAUUCAAUCUGUAUUUACUGAUGCAUACUUUAUGGGUACUAUUGCAGACGGAGAAGAGUAUAAAUUUGUUGUUCAGAAAACUACUAAAGCCUAUGAUGAUACUGUGUAGAAGAAAUUUCAUUUUGUCUAUUGAUGAAGGUUUAAUCCUAAAGUGCCUAAGAAUGUAACGGGUUACAACCCGAAGUAAAAGACAUUAUAAAUGAUAAA